GAAGGUCAAGGAAGUUGGUGACCUGAUGACAGGGGAGCCGGCGACCGAAGCCUCGGUGAACGGCGGUCGUAACUAUAACGGUCCUAAGGUAGCGAAAUUCCUUGUCGGGUAAGUUCCGACCCGCACGAAAGGCGUAACGAUCUGGGCACUGUCUCGGAGAGAGGCUCGGUGAAAUAGACAUGUCUGUGAAGAUGCGGA